rnacentral:rRNA from 1 species
UACGAAGGGUGCAAGCGUUAAUCGGAAUUACUGGGCGUAAAGGGCGCGUAGGCGGUUCGGUAAGUCUGUCGUGAAAUCCCCGGGCUCAACCUGGGAAUGGCGAUGGAUACUGGCGAGCUAGAGUGUGUCAGAGGAUGGUGGAAUUCCCGGUGUAGCGGUGAAAUGCGUAGAGAUCGGGAGGAACAUCAGUGGCGAAGGCGGCCAUCUGGGACAACACUGACGCUGAAGCACGAAAGCGUGGGGAGCAAACAGG